AGUGAACGCUGGCGGCAUGCCUUACACAUGCAAGUCGAACGGCAGCGCGGGAGCAAUCCUGGCGGCGAGUGGCGAACGGGUGAGUAAUAUAUCGGAACGUGCCCAGUAGUGGGGGAUAGCCCGGCGAAAGCCGGAUUAAUACCGCAUGAGACCUGAGGGUGAAAGCGGGGGAUCGCAAGACCUCGCGCUAUUGGAGCGGCCGAUAUCAGAUUAGCUAGUUGGUGGGGUAAAGGCCUACCAAGGCAACGAUCUGUAGUUGGUCUGAGAGGACGACCAGCCACACUGGGACUGAGACACGGCCCAGACUCCUACGGGAGGCAGCAGUGGGGAAUUUUGGACAAUGGGCGCAAGCCUGAUCCAGCAAUGCCGCGUGCAGGAAGAAGG
rnacentral:rRNA from 1 species